UGAAUACGAGAUGCUACGGCAUUGAAGCAGUGUAUGUCAGACUUCCAAGAAAAGCUCGCAAUGUCAUAAACAAUAAAUGCCUGUACCAUAACCGACACAGGUGGGUAGGUAGAGUAUACUAAGGGGCGCGAGAUAACUCUCUCUAAGGAACUCGGCAAAAUGACUCCGUAACUUCGGGAGAAGGAGUGCCUUAUUUAUAAGGUUGCAAUAACAAGAUCCAAGCAACUGUUUACCAAAAACACAGGUCUCCGCUAAGUCGAAAGACGAUGUAUGGGGGCUGACGCCUGCCCGGUGCCAGAAGGUUAAAGAAGUUGGUUAGCUUCGGCGAAGCUGAUGACUGAAGCCCUGGUGAACGGCGGCCGUAACGAUAACGGUUCUAAGGUAGCGAAAUUCCUUGUCGGGUAAGUUCCGACCCGCACGAAAGGCGUAAUGAUUUGGAUACUGUCUCGGAGAGGGGCUCGGUGAAAUAGACUUGUCUGUGAAGAUGCGGACUACCUGCACCUGGACAGAAAGACCCUAUGAAGCUUUACUGUAACUUGAGAUUGAAAUUGGACUUUAUUUGCGCUGUAUAGGUGGGAGACGUUGAGAAUAUUCUUGCGGGAAUAUUGGAGUCAUCAGUGAGAUACCACUCUUGUAAUGUUAGAUUUCUAACUUUGUAUCAUUAUCUGGUCAAAGGACAGUUUCAGGCGGGCAGUUUGACUGGGGCGGUCGCCUCCUAAACGGUAACGGAGGCGCACAAAGGUUUCCUCUGAACGUGUAGAAAUCGUAUCUAGAGUGUAAAGGCAUAAGGAAGCUUGACUGUGAGACCUACAAGUCGAGCAGGGACGAAAGUCGGUCUUAGUGAUCUGACGGUGCUGAGUGGAAAGGCCGUCACUCAACGGAUAAAAGUUACUCUAGGAUAACAGGCUGAUCUCCCCCAAGAGUUCACAUCGACGGGGAGGUUUGGCACCUCGAUGUCGGCUCAUCGCAUCCUGGGGCGGUAGUACGUCCCAAGGGUUGGGUUGUUCGCCCAUGAAAGCGGUACGCGAGCUGGGUUCAGAACGUCGUGAGACAGUUCGGUCCAUAUCCGGUGUAGGCGUUAGAAUAUUGAGAGGAGCCUUCUUUAGUACGAGAGGACCGAGAAGGACAUACCUCUGGUGUACCAGUUAUCGUGCCAACGGUAAACGCUGGGUAGCUAUGUAUGGAGUGGAUAACCGCUGAAAGCAUCUAAGUGGGAAGCCCACCUCAAGAUAAGUAUUCUCAC
rnacentral:rRNA from 1 species